GGGAGAUGAGAUUGUAGCCCAGACAUUUAAAUUUUCAGAUAACUUAUUAUUUGAGCGGUAUCAUUUUUCUUACCAGU